AGUGGAUGGGGAGCAACCUAGUUGUGCGUGUGUAAAGGUAGUGCCAAGAAAAGCGAUGAUCAUGUUGGAAAUCAAUUCCCGGUACCCGAAACCGACACAGGUGGGCAAGUAGAGAAUACUAAGGGGCGCGAGGUAACUCUCUCCAAGGAACUCGGCAAAAUGACCCCGUAACUUAGGGAGAAGGGGUGCCACCGAGAGGUGGUCGCAGUGAAGAGGCCCAGGCGACUGUUUAGCAAAAACAUAGGUCUCUGCAAACUCGAAAGAGGAGGUAUAGGGGCUGACGCCUGCCCAGUGCCGGAAGGUUAAAGAAGUUGGUCAGUUUUAGGAUGAAGCUAGCGACUGAAGCCCCGGUGAACGGCGGCCGUAACUAUAACGGUCCUAAGGUAGCGAAAUUCCUUGUCGGGUAAGUUCCGACCCGCACGAAAGGCGUAACGAUCUGGGCGCUGUCUCGGAGAGAGGCUCGGCGAAAUAGGAUUGUCUGUGAAGAUACGGACUACCUGCAUUUGGACAGAAAGACCCUAUGAAGCAUUACUAUAGCUUGGAAUUGUGUUCGGGCUUCCUGUGCGCAGGAUAGGUGGGAGGCGUAGAAGGUAUUCUUGUGGGGAUACUGGAGCCAACGGUGAGAUACCACUCUCAGGAGGCUAGAAUUCUAACUUAAUUAAGGACAGUUUCAGGUGGGUAGUUUGACUGGGGCGGUCGCCUCCAAAAAGGUAACGGAGGCGUACAAAGGUUCCCUCAGACUGGUUGGAAAUCAGUCGAAGAGUGCAAAGGCAGAAGGGAGCUUGACUGCGAGAAGUACAGUUCGAGCAGGGUGGAAACACGGUCUUAGUGAUCCGACGGUGCUGUGUGGAAGGGCCGUCGCUCAACGGAUAAAAGUUACUCUAGGAUAACAGGCUGAUCUCCCCCAAGAGUUCACAUCGACGGGGAGGUUUGGCACCUCGAUGUCGGCUCAUCGCAACCUGGGGCGGAAGUACGUCCCAAGGGUUGGGCUGUUCGCCCAUUAAAGCGGUACGUGAGCUGGGUUCAGAACGUCGUGAGACAGUUCGGUCCAUAUCCGAUGUAGGCGUGAGAAUAUUGAGAGGAGCCUUCCUUAGUACGAGAGGACCGGGAAGGACGCACCGCUGGUGUACCUGUUAUGAUGCCAAUUGUAAACGCAGGGUAGCCAAGUGCGGAGAGGAUAACCGCUGAAAGCAUCUAAGUGGGAAGCCCACCUCAAGAUGAGUAUUCUGGUGUAAGGUCACGGGAAGACGACCCGUAAAUAGGCACGAGGUGGAAGUGCAGAGGUGUAUGAAGCCGAAGUGUACUAAUAGACCGUCGGCUUGAUC
rnacentral:rRNA from 1 species